rnacentral:lncRNA from 1 species
AGGAAAGAGAUUUAAAUGUUAAUUAUAACCUUCCUAGGCGAUCCUCUUUUCCUUCUCUCUGGAGUUGACUCUACCACUACGAUGGAUAGAACACAUGGUUUCGUUGAGGCAAGCCAACUCCAGGCAGCAACCACACAUGGAAAAGAAACAUCAUCGUGUACAAAUUAUAGCCUGGAAGAGAAUUGAAUUCCAAGUGUUCUGAAAACAUUUUGAUUAGCCAGCAUAGAGAAAGAGUGGUUGGAUUUUACUAAUGUCUAUAUACGAUAUAUCUUCUGAGUUGAUGCCACACUCCUUUGGUAAUUCUUAGACAGUGGUUGAGUGGGUAGAAAGGUCUUGCCAUUUCUUUUCUAAGUGUGACUCUCUGUAAGGGCAGUCUGUUCUCUGAGAUCCCAGUUGGACUAGUUCAGAUAAAUGGAUUUCUGCAGCAUUGUCUGGAUUUAUUUUGGUUUCUUAUCUGAUUUGCUUUACAGUUAACAAAUCUUAACUGAAGUCUCAAGAGUUUUUUUUGUGCUACUAUGAUUUAUUUUCUUAACUUUCACAAUAGUUUUUCUUUAAUAAGAAAAGGAAUUAUUAACUCUAUCCAAUAUUUAGUUCCAAGAAAACUAAUUAAUGCAUACAUGUAUUAAAAAUCUGUAAACCAAUGAGCAAAUAUAAUCACUACAUUCAUUUGACAAAUAUAGACAGCAGUUAUAUAUGUUAUUGAAAUCUCUUUUUAUUUACAUUGUUUCAUUACUAAGAGGCUUCAUGAUAUUUAACUCAUUUUAUUAUUUUGCUGUUUAACAUUAUGAUUGAGAAGAACUAACCAAUUUUAAAGGGCUAUUUGUCUAAAAUGACAGUUUCUUUAUUACUGUUUUUAAGCCUAAAUUAUUAUCAUAUGAUACAUAAAUAGUAUUUUAAAUAAUCAUAUCAAAGGGACAGCAUUAGUAGAACAGUUAAAUCAACUUUAAUUAAAUAUUUGUUUUACUGUAACAUAAGCUCUUGUAUUCGAAAGUGUCUAUUGGGGACAUUAUUGUAAUAUGUCACAGAUUUUAAAAUCAUUCUAUCUAUCUGUCUCAAAGUUUCAGUCUGUCAAAGAAUAAAUUUAAAAAAUUACUAUGCUACA